rnacentral:rRNA from 1 species
AGAGUUUGAUCAUGGCUCAGAUUGAACGCUGGCGGUAGGCCUAACACAUGCAAGUCGAACGGUAACGGACCGCUGGGAUUCCUUCGGGAUGACCUUGGUGCCGACGAGUGGCGGACGGGUGAGUAACACGUAGGAAUCUGCCAAACAGUGGGGGACAACCCGGAGAAAUCCGGGCUAAUACCGCAUACGCCCUACGGGGGAAAGCGGGGGACCUUCGGGCCUCGCGCUGUUUGAGGAGCCUGCGUCGGAUUAGCUUGUUGGUGAGGUAAAGGCUCACCAAGGCGACGAUCCGUAGCUGGUCUGAGAGGAUGAUCAGCCACACUGGGACUGAGACACGGCCCAGACUCCUACGGGAGGCAGCAGUGGGGAAUAUUGCACAACGGGCGAAAGCCUGAUGCAGCUAUACCGCGUGGGUGAAGAAGGCCUUAGGGUUGUAAAGCCCUUUCAGCAGGGAAGAAAGGUACGGAGUUAAUAGCUCCGUAAUUUGACGGUACCUGAAUAAGA